rnacentral:lncRNA from 1 species
CAUCUGGAGGUUUCAUCAAAGAGCAUAAUGUGUAGAACUGCUCCAAAUGUCUGUGUGGGCAUUCACCUGCAAGACCAUGAAACUUAGGCAGCAAAUGUAUCAGUCCAGUGUUGAAAACACAACGAAUAUCCUCCUCAUCAAGUGGAAACGACUCCCUAGGAGCACUCUCAUGAGAUGGAGGAGGAAUCAUAUUGUUCUCAACACAAAAAUCAGCAGGAGAAUCAUAACCAAAAUAGGUAGACAUGGGAAAGAAGGGGAAAAGAAGAAUGCAAUGAAAAUAUGCA